rnacentral:rRNA from 1 species
UACAGAGGUCCCGAGCGUUGUUCGGAUUCACUGGGCGUAAAGGGUGCGCAGGUGGUCGGGUAAGUCUGAUGUGAAAUCCCGCAGCUUAACUGCGGAACGGCAUUGGAUACUAUUUGGCUAGAGGGUUGGAGGGGGGACUGGAAUUCUCGGUGUAGCAGUGAAAUGCGUAGAUAUCGGGAAGAACACCGGUGGCGAAGGCGGCUCGCUGGGCCGUUGCUGACGCUGAGGCGCGAAAGCGUGGGGAGCAAACAGG